CUUCAACAGGUUUUGUAAUAUUGAUGCAAUAGUGUUAAAUAAAUAAAUAGUUAUAGUGGGUAGGUACUCCUUAUCAAGCGUAAUACUCGCAACUAAUGUGUCAAGACCAUUGAUUACCAGUUGAUCCGAGGUAUCAACCUAAUUACUACGAUUCAGAUGGAUCACACAGUUUCGCGCGACAAUCAUUCGGGGACCGACGCCGGUCGCGCACUCCGCGGUCAGUUACGUUCGUUGACAGAUAUAUGUGUACAAACUAUCUUAUGACCUUGUGUUUGAUUUAGUUUUAUUAUAGUGUCAUUUACAAAAUAUGGAGCUCUUUGAUAUAUUUUUGCAAGCUGGAUUGACAACGUCGGUAUUGGUGGUGUAUCUGAUAUUCUUUAAGAAACGACAAGCUCAUAAUAAAUUAAAUUACACUCAGGCUGGAUGGAACUAUCCACUUAAACGGUGGCUAUCACGGUACUAUGCCGUGGGUCGCUGGAAGGCCCAGUGCGUGCUUGUGCCUACGAGCGAGCUACCUCGCGCUGACUUGCACGACGGAUGGGACUCUAUCGACGUGCGCGCCACCAGCACGGAUGGCGCUGCCGUGCUGCUGGGAAUACGCAAACUGUGCGGCAGGCGACCCACCGCAGAAGUGACGGUGUACGUCAAGUUAACAGAUGGAUCCAGUUAUAGAUUACCAAGACAUCCAGACACUAUAACAUGUCACUGGGAGGACACUGAAGGUGCUUGGAGCGCAGGUGGACUGAAGAUCCAGAUCCUGGAGCCUGAGACACGGCUGAGGAUUAUAUUCAACGGACUCUUGACUUCAGUCGAAGACGGCAUCACACAGCAUGUUAACUUUAAUUUUAUAUGGAGAUCUGCCACAAACGUAUUGCGACACCCUGAGGACUGGAGCACUGAACUUGCAGCGGAAUGUUUGGCCCAGGAGCAGUGGCGAGAUAGCAAAUGGCCAUAUUUAUUAGGGACGUGGGAGGAGGGCGGUUGGAUGCAAGGUGGUGUUGUACAAGGCCGCUUUCAAUCCUUCGAUCAGCAAGGCAUCCUGCAGAAGUACGAGUAUCUCCGCCUGCGGGGAGUCAGAGAGAGAAGUUGGGCGCCCAACGGGUACGAAGGUCGGAGGCGAUCUGUCACUGUCACGGCGUCAUCUAAGGAUGGUACUUUGGUGCAUCUUCGUGGACUUUCGUAUAGAAAUAUCUUGACACAAUGCAUAUCAGGACACGUCAGAUACCCAAAUUACAAAGUGGAGAGUAUAAUCGACACAGACUUUGUACUGCAAGACUUUGCUGAGACUAUCGCCGGGAUACCGAAGGUUUACACGAUAAAUGUGAGCACUAAAUGGCGCACCAUUUGCAUGGUGCUUCGCAUUAACUUCGAUGGCGGUAAACUGCUAAGCGGAGUCCCGUACCAGCAAGAGCUGGAGUAUCGUACUUUGGUGGUCAGUAUUGACGAGUCGCCCGGCUCUGGCAUACUUGAACUUGGCUAUGAACCUUCAGUAAUAACGGAGCCCGCAGUGCGUGUGUCCCCGCCGCGCGCCCUCAGGUGGCUCAGCGCGAGCGAUGCUGGCUCGGUGGGUUACUGCCUACCAUUCGAGGCGCGUGCAGCCGCCUGUCCCGACUAUGUCGGCGGCAAGGGUGCUUCGCUGGCGUUACUUGCUUCUGUGCAGGAUGUUGAGGGCUACAAAGUGCCACCAGGAUUUUGUUUGACUGUACGAGCUUUGGAGAAACAGCUCGAAGCUAAUCCGGCACUACUGGCGGCUAUUCGAGAGAUCGAGGCCGCUAAUGAAGACUACGACGAAACAAAUUUUAAAGAUAAAUGCUCGAAGGCCGUCGAACUAUUUGUCAAAACUGAAAUAAUUGAAGACGUAAGAAACGAAAUACUCGUUCACCUUAAAGAGCUGAGAAAUGCGGCUACGCAACAAAAUUUGGAACAACGAUUUGCAGUCAGAUCUUCAGCGGUGGGUGAAGACAGCGAGACGCUGUCGGCGGCCGGCCAGAACGAGACGAUCUUGGGUUGCGUGAGCGAUGAGCAGGUAGUGCGUGCGGUGCAGCAGUGCUGGGCCUCCAUGUUCGCCUUCACCAGCGCCUAUUACCGCAGGCAGAACGGGCAGCAGUGCGUGUGCGGCGGCGGCGUGGUGGUGCAGGCGCUGGUAGUGGCGCGCGCUGCCGGCGUCAUGUUCACGCGCCACCCUGACCGCGGCGACGCCUCGCGUCUCCUCAUCACCGCCAACUACGGUCUCGGCGAGACGGUUGUAUCGGGAUCAGUAGAACCAGAUACGAUAAUAGUGAAACGAGGUCAAGAAGAUGAUCUUACAAUCAUGAAAAUUGAUUUGGGAUCGAAGACUCAGCGAGUGACGACCGCCAGUGAUGGGGUCACCACUGAGGAUGUACCGGAAACAGAACGUGGGGUGGCGUGUAUAUCUGAAACAGAGGCGUUGAAGUUGGCCCAAGUUGGCGUGGCCCAAGAGCAGCUGUGGGGAGCAGGCAGGGAUAUCGAGUGGGCUAUUACCAAGAAUGGUUUGUAUCUACUGCAAGCGCGGCCCAUCACAUCCUUGGAGCGCUGGACGGAGGAGGAACUGUUGCACGAACUAGACUCACCGAUCAUGUCUGAUGAAGAUCUCAUCACUUUCGCCAACACUGGUGAGGUAUUUCCAAAGCCAGUGAGUCCGUUGAAUGUCGACCUCGUCGUCAAUCCUCUAACAAGUAGUAUGAAUACUAUGGUCAGUAAUAACAUGGAACCAUACGAAGACAGCAUCAUAAUUACUCAUAAUAGGGUUACAAUAUCAUUGUACAACUCAGCAUAUAGGAGAGCGCCUAAAGAAAUCGAUAUGAACAUACGUAUGCUCGAGAUGGCUCUUCAUGGAAGGAAAGUUGCCGACCAGAACAUUUUAGAUGUGGCAUUACGACGUCGACCGCCGCAUUGGACCGACAACAUUGAAGUAGUGAAAGGCCUUCUAACGUGUCUAAUUUCUUCUAAGUGGAAUAUGGAGGAUAGCGUUAAAACAGCAAAUGAAAUGAAUAUAAAAAUGAACAGCAAUGAACCUCUGGAAAUGUUCGAGACUCUGAUAAAGGAAUUGGACACAAUGAAGCGUCUCUCCAGCAAUCACAGUUUCACCAGUGCUGCUAGCACCUCUAGUCAAUUCAUUGCGAUGUCUGUAUUGUUAGAAGGCGCUUCUGAUUUUACAACUGAACAAUGCAAUGAAAUAAAUACAUUGCUUAGCUCUGGAGACGUAUUAUCUGCCGAAGUGCCAUUAGGUCUAGCGAAAUUGGCACGCCAACUGGAGGAGUCAGGAAAACGUGACCAAUUUAAGGCACAGGACCCCAAGAAAGCUCUAGAUUGGCUGAUGAUCAAUUUACCCAAUAUACAUGUGAAUGUGUUAGAUUUCUUGAAAGAACACGGUCAUAGAGCUAUUAUGGAGUUUGAUAUGGUAACCAAACCAUGGGCCUUGGUUCCUGAAGAGCUAAUGAAAAUUCUUCAAAACUUAAGAGCGACCGAAAAAAAUCAGGAAAGGAAAACUGAUUCUGAAAUAAUCGCAGCGCUGAGUACUCCAAAAAAAUCAAUUACUAGGUAUGUACUGUCUUGGGUACUACCACUAUGUCGCCGAACAGUGCGUCACAGAGAGGGCACAAAGGCGCAUCUAAUCCUUGGUAUACACAAAUUGCGUUUAGCGGCUAUCGAACUCGGCAAGGAGUUGGUGCGCCGUUGGUACUUGCCGCACCAUGAUCUUGUAUUCUUCUUCCGAGUGAAAGAGUUGGCUGACUACAUUACUAGUAGAGAUCCAGCGUUACUAAGGAAAUUCAUCAGCUGCAACAAGGUGAUGUGUUGAUAACGCAUGCCACAGACAUCGGCUGGUCGCCUUACUUCCCGCUGGUGACAGGGAUCGUCACAGAGCUCGGUGGUCUCGUAUCACACGGUGCAGUUAUAGCACGCGAGUACGGUUUACCCUGUAUUGUAGCAGCUAUGGAUGCUACAGAUAUUUUCAAAACAGGAGACAUCGUUAGACUUUCCGGCACCAAGGGUUUAAUAGAAAAAGUGCAA
rnacentral:misc_RNA from 1 species